rnacentral:tRNA from 1 species
AUCUAAAUAGUUUAAUAAAAACGUUGGUUUGUGGAAUCAAAGAUAUAAAAAAAGUUAUUUUAGGUU